CCUACGGGGGGCUGCAGUGGGGAAUAUUGGACAAUGGGGGCAACCCUGAUCCAGCCAUGCCGCGUGAGUGAUGAAGGCCUUAGGGUUGUAAAGCUCUUUCGGCGGGGAAGAUGAUGACGGUACCCGCAGAAGAAGCCUCGGCUAACUCCGUGCCAGCAGCCGCGGUAAGACGGAGGAGGCUAGCGUUGUUCGGAAUUACUGGGCGUAAAGCGCACGCAGGUGGCGAUACAAGUCGGGUGUGAAAGCCCGGGGCUCAACCCCGGAUGUGCAUUCGA
rnacentral:rRNA from 1 species